rfam:Gloeophyllum trabeum ATCC 11539 unplaced genomic scaffold GLOTRscaffold_00007, whole genome shotgun sequence.
GCCCUUAUAGCUCAGUGGUAGAGCGCAUCACUCGUAUGUUAUGAUGAGGUCCGUCGUUCAAUCCGGCGUGAGGGCA